GCCAGCGUAGCUCAAUUGGCUAGAGCAACGGUUUUGUAAACCGUGGGUUGUCGGUUCGAGUCCGACCGCUGGCU
rnacentral:tRNA from 1 species